AUGAAUUCAGGUGUACCAUGGGGAGCGGAGGUUUGUUAUGAAUUCAGGUGUACCAUGGGGAGCGGAGGUUUGUUAUGAAUUCAGGUGUACCAUAGGGAGCGGAGGUUUGUUAUGAAUUCAGGUGUACCAUAGGGAGCGGAGGUUUGUUGUGAAUUCAGGUGUACCAUGGGGAGCGGAGGUUUGUUAUGAAUUACAAAGCUCUCACACAUCACUGUACCCUCUAUAUGAGAGUGGGCUGUCCUUCCUUAGCUCUUCGGAGACAUAGUCAUUGGUUACGUCUUCAUUGAUCAGGUCAUACUGAGACAGCUCCCUUUUUACCUGUGUACCUACAUUGUCCAGCAGACAAAUGACAACAAUUGGCUACGCUCACAGGACUGUAUCUUGUUGACUGUGCCCGUACAGAGUUUGGUAAAAAAAAGCAUUCCAGUUUUCUCGCCCUUCCACUUGGAACGAGCUACAAAAGGACAUUAAAUUGCAGGAGCUCGUGUCCUUGAAUUAGUUUAAGGCUAGGGUCAAAUCUAUGGUGGACAAUAAAGUGUGUGUGUGUGUGUAUGGGGUGAAUUCUGUGUGCUUCUAUUUUGG
rnacentral:lncRNA from 1 species